GUCCCAGUAGCUUAUAACAAAGCAUGGCGCUGAAGAUGCCAAGAUGGCCAUUAUACAGCCCACGGACA
rnacentral:tRNA from 1 species